CGUCUCUCCCCGCCCCCGACACACAAGGGGUACAGGAGUCUUUUAAAGAGAUUUAUUGUGCCUGCUGCCACCUUGUUGGUACCCUUUUACGUGUUGGCUAAGCAGAAAGGAGUCAGUGAAAAGGAAAUUGGACCACAGGCUUCUCUGGUGGCGCAGUGGUUGAGAGUCCGCCUGCCGAUGCAGGGGACGCGGGUUCGUGCCCCGGUCCGGGAGGAUCCCACAUGCCGCGGAGCAUCUGGGCCCGUGAGCCAUGGCCGCUGAGCCUGCGCGUCCGGAGCCUGUGCUCCGCAACGGGAGAGGCCACAACGGUGAGAGGCCCGCGUACCGAAAAAAAAAAAAAAAAAAAAAAAAUCGUUUCUAAUCAUUUAUAACACAUUCACAUGGUUUAAAAUUUAAAAAGUACAGUGGUAUAUGCUAUGAAAAAUCUCUCUUCCACCUCAGUCCCUGAGACACCCAAAUCUACUCAUGGCAACAAAUGACAUUAAUUUUUAUACAUCCUUCAUGCGUGUACAAAUAUAUACACACCCACAUACCCUUUGAAGACCUUUUUAUAUAUAAAGGGCUUCCUCAGUUUUUUAUAUAGCUAUGUGGUAUUACAUUGUAUAGACAUGCCUUUAUUUAAUCAGUCACCUGAUUUGUUUAGUCAGACCUUUAGAGUGUUUCUAAUUCUUCCUCUAAAAAUAAUCUGCUAAGAGUAACCUCAAAUAUACAUUAUUUUGCUGAUAUGUGGGUAAUCUAUGGAAUAAAUUCCUAAAAGUGGAGUUGUGGGUCAAAUUUUUCACAGGUUAGGUUUUCUGGGAAGCAGAUUCUGGGACAGAAAUUUAGAGUUCAAGGUGUUUGUUUAUUAAGGAGUGCCCUUGGGUUCAACAUCUGCGGAAGGGAGAAGGAGGAAGUGGGAUUGAGCAGAAGGAGAAGUUGAGCUUUGAAGGUGCCCCAUGCAGCCUCAGCCAAACCCCACAGGGGAGCUGUGGAGCUGAAAUGACCUACCAGAAUUGGCCCACAUUGGGUGGAAAAGGCUUUUAUACCCCUUCCUCCAUCAGUGGGCUGCCCCAAGAAGGCACUGACUUUAGAUGGGGCAACUCUUUGCAGCCGAGGCAAAACUUGCAAGGGCUGACAGUUGAAGAUUGUCAGCUGACAGAUCUUCCGGCAGCUGGGACAAGACCUUCCUUGAAAGGGGAUAUCUGGGAGGCUCAUCUCCAUGUCCAACCGAAAAGGGUAUGUGACUUUGGUAGAUUUUGCCAAAUUGCCAUACCAAUUUAUACUUCCACCAGCAACAUAUGAGAAUGGCUGUUUACCCAUAUCCUCCCCAACACAGAAUUUUAUCAAACUUCUGGAUCUUUGCCAAUCUGAUUAGGUGAAACAUGAUGUCUUGGUAUAGGUCUAAUUUUCUUUUCUUUUAUUCUGAGGGAAGUUCAACUUCUUUUUGUCCUUUUUUUUUCUUUCCUUUGAACUAUCUGUUUAUAUCCUUUGCAUAUUUUCCUACUGGGAUAAUUUUUUUUUUUAAGUAAUUUGUAGGAACUCUUAGUGUUAAAGAAAUUAGCCAUACUCUCGCCACAUACCCUCCCAAUAUAACCAUAUGUCAAUAAUAUUUGAUUAAAUUAACAUUUUGUGUUUCCAUCAUUAUGACCUUUCCUUUCUUAUAUCAUUUCUGGUUUGUUUGGGUUUUUUUUUAAGAUGUUGGGAGUAGGAGUUUAUUAAUUAAUUUAUUUAUUUUUGCUGUGUUGGGUCUUCGUUUCUGUGCGAGGGCUUUCUCUAGUUGUGGCAAGCGGGGGCCACUCUUCAUCGCGGUGCACGGACCUCUCACUAUCACGGCCUCUCUUGUUGCGGAGGACAGGCUCCAGACGCGCAGGCUCAGUAGUUGUGGCUCACGGGCCUAGUUGCUCCACGGCAUGUGGGAUCUUCCCAGACCAGGGCUCGAACCCGUGUCCCCUGCAUUAGCAGACAGAUUCUCAACCACUGCGCCACCAGGGAAGCCCCAUUUCUGUUUUU